rnacentral:rRNA from 1 species
UCUUGACAUCCAGCGAACUUUCCAGAGAUGGAUUGGUGCCUUCGGGAACGCUGAGACAGGUGCUGCAUGGCUGUCGUCAGCUCGUGUUGUGAAAUGUUGGGUUAAGUCCGCAACGAGCGCAACCCUUAUCCUUUGUUGCCAGCGAUUCGGUCGGGAACUCAAAGGAGACUGCCGGUGAUAAACCGGAGGAAGGUGGGGAUGACGUCAAGUCAUCAUGGCCCUUACGAGUAGGGCUACACACGUGCUACAAUGGCGCAUACAAAGAGAAGCGACCUCGCGAGAGCAAGCGGACCUCAUAAAGUGCGUCGUAGUCCGGAUCGGAGUCUGCAACUCGACUCCGUGAAGUCGGAAUCGCUAGUAAUCGUGGAUCGGAAUGCCACGGUGAAUACGUUCCCGGGCCUUGUACACACCGCCCGUCACACCAUGGGAGUGGGUUGCAAAAGAAGUAGGUAGCUUAACCUUCGGGAGGGCGCUUACCACUUUGUGAUUCAUGACUGGGGUGAAGUCGUAACAAGGUAAGCGUAGCGAG